GAUUGAACGCUGGCGGCCUGCUUUACACAUGCAAGUCGAACGGCAGCGCGGGCUUCGGCCUGGCGGCGAGUGGCGAACGGGUGAGUAAUACAUCGGAACGUGCCCAGUAGUGGGGGAUAGCUCGGCGAAAGCCGGAUUAAUACCGCAUACGACCUGAGGGUGAAAGCGGGGGAUCUUCGGACCUCGCGCUAUUGGAGCGGCCGAUGGCAGAUUAGCUAGUUGGUGGGGUAAAGGCCUACCAAGGCGACGAUCUGUAGCUGGUCUGAGAGGACGACCAGCCACACUGGGACUGAGACACGGCCCAGACUCCUACGGGAGGCAGCAGUGGGGAAUUUUGGACAAUGGGCGAAAGCCUGAUCCAGCAAUGCCGCGUGUGUGAUGAAGGCCUCCGGGUUGUAAAGCACUUUUGGCGGGAACGAAAAGGACUGUGCCAAUACCACGGUUCGAUGACGGUACCCGCAGAAUAAGCACCGGCUAACUACGUG
rnacentral:rRNA from 1 species